AUGGGACCCCGGAUGACAAUUUCAGCACGGAAAAUCGAGUUGACAUAUGAUGCAAGUCGCUUUCCGUUCCGCUUUUCAGACGAAAGCGAUCUCACUUUGAGCAGCGUGCUGUGAGAAAAAAGUAAGGGGAAAAUCAGUGCAAUCAUCGUCAUGGUAGUCAUGGCGAAAAAAAGUUUAUCUGUUGACUUGUUGUACUGCCAUGGUUGGAUUUGAUCCGCAGUACAUCAAGUCAGAACAGCUCUAUUAAACAUGUAAACCAUUGAAGGCUUCGAAAUCUAGGACGUUUAAAGGGCACCAGUAGACGCAUCGAAUCUUGAAGCAGAAAUAGAUCCACGUACAAGUGAAAAUAUUGACGAUGAUAUCGUGUUGCCUUUGAUGAUUUCUAGGUGUUCAAGAAACAACAAGGGAUGGUGAAGAGCAAACGAUGGAGAGUGCAAGUAAUGAAUUUUGUUUUCGUUAAUUGCGGAAACUAAAUUUGAUUCUUUUUUAAUGGUAGCUGCUGAUUUAGGAUCCAGGCUAGACAAAGAAAAAGGAUUUGGAGAAAAUUUGUGAAAACGGAAUGUAUAAAUCCUCCAAGUACAAAUUAUGACUGAAGCAAUUCCAAUGUGACUAGCAGUGGAAAAGGAGUGUACGCUCUCUAAGCAGGGAUGAAUUUGCAAAUGACGCAGGAUGUAAGAACACUGCAAAACAGCACAUGUUAUGUACAUGUGGCCAGCCGGCUCUGUCACUCUAUUUACACUACAAACCAUAAAAAGCACGUGAUUUUAUUUAGCUUUUAUAGGGUUCUUUGCCGGGUGUUUUUUUUUCAAGUUUAUUAGGCAGGCCUUUAGGUUUUAGGCCUUUCUGUGAUUCAUAGGAAUGUUUUAGAAUUGUGCAUGCAGGUCAGAACUACAAAAUAUAUUACGAAUCAAUACAA